CGCGUAGGUGGUUAAUUAAGUCAAAUGUGAAAUCCCCGAGCUUAACUUGGGAAUUGCAUUCGAUACUGGUUAGCUAGAGUAUGGGAGAGGAUGGUAGAAUUCCAGGUGUAGCGGUGAAAUGCGUAGAGAUCUGGAGGAACACCAGUGGCGAAGGCGGCUUACUGGACGGUAACUGACGUUGAGGCUCGAAAGCGUGGGGAGCAAACA
rnacentral:rRNA from 1 species